rnacentral:rRNA from 1 species
GACGUAGGGCGCGAGCGUUGUCCGGAAUUAUUGGGCGUAAAGAGCUCGUAGGCGGUCUGUCGCGUCUGCUGUGAAACCUAGGGCUUAACUCUGGGCGUGCAGUGGGUACGGGCAGGCUAGAGUGCGGUAGGGGAGACUGGAAUUCCUGGUGUAGCGGUGAAAUGCGCAGAUAUCAGGAGGAACACCGGUGGCGAAGGCGGGUCUCUGGGCCGUAACUGACGCUGAGGAGCGAAAGCAUGGGGAGCGAACAGG